rnacentral:lncRNA from 1 species
CUGAGGCAAAACUAACAGGCAGCAGCGACUGCCCGCUCAUAGCUGCCAGAGAUACUAUCCUGCAGGUUUUUUUCAGAGGUAAGAACAGGAAAGACGAGAGAACACGAGAAAACCAGCAAUUAAACGGCAAGCAAAGGAAUAACCACCAGUAAGUAAGGAAAACCAGCAGAAGGAAAGAGUGGUCAGAAGCUGGUGGAGGACAAGGUCCUGGGGCAGUUUCUAGGCUAAGCAGAGUCGUGUGAAACGCUGGGCAGGAGACACGGGCGGGAAGGCAUCCACGGCUCAUUCAACCUGGCACUUCGGCAGCAUUAUUCCAGUUGGAGAUAUAAAGCAGAGAACCAUCAUUCUCAAAACUGUUCU